UUCGGGGGAUACUGCCAGACUUGGAACCGGGAGAGGUAAGAGGUACUACAGGGGGUAGGAGUGAAAUCUUGUAAUCCCUGUGGGACCACCUGUGGCGAAGGCGUCUUACCAGAACGGGUUCGACGGUGAGGACGAAAGCUGGGGCACGAACCGGAUUAGAUACCCGGGUAGUCCCAGCCGUAAACGAUGCUCGCUAGGUGUCAGGCAUGGCGCGACCGUGUCUGGUGCCGCAGGGAAGCCGUGAAGCGAGCCACCUGGGAAGUACGGCCGCAAGGCUGAAACUUAAAGGAAUUGGGCGGGGGAGCACAACAACGGGGUUGGAGCCUGCGGUUUAAUUGGACUCAACGCCGGACAACUCACCGGGGGCGACAGCAAUAUGUAGGCCAAGCUGAAGACUUUGCCUGAAUCGCUGAGGGGAGGUGCAUGG
rnacentral:rRNA from 1 species